rnacentral:rRNA from 1 species
AACGAACGCUGGCGGCAGGCCUAACACAUGCAAGUCGAACGCUCACCUUCGGGUGGGAGUGGCGCACGGGUGAGUAAACACGUGGGAACCUACCUUGGAGUACGGGAUAACAGAGGGAAAAACUUCUGCUAAUACCGUAUACGCCCCAUGGGGGAAAGAUUUAUCGCUCCAGGAUGGGCCCGCGUCCGAUUAGCUAGUUGGUGUGUAACGGCGCACCAAGGCGACGAUCGGUAGCUGGUUUGAGAGAAUGAUCAGCCACACUGGGACUGAGACACGGCCCAGACUCCUACGGGAGGCAGCAGUGGGGAAUAUUGGGACAAUGGGCGCAAGCCUGAUCCAGCCAUGCCGCGUGAGUGAUGAAGGCCUUCGGGUUGUAAAGGCUCUUUCAGAUGGAAGAUGAUGAC